rnacentral:rRNA from 2 species
UGGGGAAUAUUGCACAAUGGGGGAAACCCUGAUGCAGCGACGCCGCGUGGAGGAAGAAGGUCUUCGGAUUGUAAACUCCUGUUGUUGAGGAAGAUAAUGACGGUACUCAACAAGGAAGUGACGGCUAACUACGUGCCAGCAGCCGCGGUAAAACGUAGGUCACAAGCGUUGUCCGGAAUUACUGGGUGUAAAGGGAGCGCAGGCGGGAGAACAAGUUGGAAGUGAAAUCCAUGGGCUCAACCCAUGAACUGCUUUCAAAACUGUUUUUCUUGAGUAGUGCAGAGGUAGGCGGAAUUCCCGGUGUAGCGGUGGAAUGCGUAGAUAUCGGGAGGAACACCAGUGGCGAAGGCGGCCUACUGGGCACCAACUGACGCUGAGGCUCGAAAGUGUGGGUAGCAAACAGGAUUAGAUACCCUGGUAGUCCACACCGUAAACGAUGAUUACUAGGUGUUGGAGGAUUGACCCCUUCAGUGCCGCAGUUAACACAAUAAGUAAUCCACCUGGGGAGUACGACCGCAAGGUUGAAACUCAAAGGAAUUGACGGGGGCCCGCACAAGCAGUGGAGUAUGUGGUUUAAUUCGACGCAACGCGAAGAACCUUACCAAGUCUUGACAUCCCUUGACGAUGCUGGAAACAGUAUUUCUCUUCGGAGCAAGGAGACAGGUGGUGCAUGGUUGUCGUCAGCUCGUGUCGUGAGAUGUUGGGUUAAGUCCCGCAACGAGCGCAACCCUUAUGGUCAGUUACUACGCAAGAGGACUCUGGCCAGACUGCCGUUGACAAAACGGAGGAAGGUGGGGAUGACGUCAAAUCAUCAUGCCCUUUAUGACUUGGGCUACACACGUACUACAAUGGCGUUAAACAAAGAGAAGCAAGACCGCGAGGUGGAGCAAAACUCAGAAACAACGUCCCAGUUCGGACUGCAGGCUGCAACUCGCCUGCACGAAGUCGGAAUUGCUAGUAAUCGUGGAUCAGCAUGCCACGGUGAAUACGUUCCC